AGUCAUUGAUACUGUCUCAGUGGCUUAGUAAAAAAAGUCUCUUUUUUGCUCACAUGUCACAGUCUGAUAAGAGGCCCCCUGGAUGGGCCUCCUCCCAGCCAGUGCAGGAAUCCAGGCUGCCUGAGGCCGGAAUCAGAGGCCUCAGAAUAACUGCAGCCAGAGAAGAGAGAUGGGUCGGGGAGCACUCUCUGCCUUGGACUAGAAGUGGCACAUCGCUUCUGUGCGAGGUCCGUUGGCGAGAACGUCACGUGCCCAGGCUCACUGUGAGGGCGGCUGGGAGCACCAUUGUCGCGUGUCCAGAUGAGGAGACGAUGUGUUGCACACAGCAUUGUCUGCCAUAUCAGGAACGUGCUGGCUGCUGUCUGGGGAAGGGGAGGGGACAAGGCAUAAGCGGGAAAACGAAUUCUCCAUGCGAAGCAGGUCUCCUCUGCCUCCCGCCGCCCUACCGUCAGGAGCUGAGAGAACCUCCUGGCCCCUAAGAUUUCUCUUGAGACCUAACACCAAGGCCACAGCAAGUGCCCCUGCAUCGUGCCCCAACAGCGCCAACCGCAACCCACUGUGAAAGGGCCAGGUGGGUGUCUCUGAGGAUCCCAUUUUGCAAACGAAGAAACUGGAGCUCCAGGGUGUCACUGGCGAAUGACAGGCACAACCAGGACCCAAACUGAUGCCCGACUGACUCUUCCCAUCACCAUAGAGUGUUGCAGACACUAGUGGCGUGGCAGGGCCGCCGUCGAUGGCUCUUCAGUGUGCAGCAGAAGACACGGCCGAGGUAUGUGUUUCUCAGAAGGCAAAGGCAUGCAUUUCAGGGAUAUCUUAAGAUUAUAUCUUCCUAGUUUUUUUUUCAGUAUAACAUGCACUUUUUCAUGAAAUGAUUAUGAUGGUGGAUACAAUUUUUUAAUGCUCUUAUUUAGUGAUAAAAUUCACUGGCAACACCACGUAGCUUCUCAGUUACAAACAACAACAACUCACGUAACAAAUACUUACUGAGAGCCCGUGAUGUGCCAGGUGCAAUUCUAGACUCUGGUUUCAUAAUGACCCCAGCACUGCUGCCUGCGGCUUGGGGCCUCCUCCUUGUCUGAGCUCUUGUAAAUAGGGAGUGCUGAUAGUAGGCAGAUUAUGUAGGUUUGACUGGCUUUCUGAGAACAAAAUUCUGUGGUCAGAUAGAAAUAUAUGAAUGUUGUUUUGGAUGAUAAAAGCGGUCUUCCAAGAGGAGUCGGGUUCCAGCUACCUGACUGAUUUUAGAUUUGGGGAACUUCAGGGAAGCCCAGGUCGCAUUGUGUUCCUUUUGCACCAGCUCAUUUCUGUGGCUGCAGGGCUGGGGAGAGUCUGUUCCUGACAUGUGGGGACAUUCAUGUAGUGCCAUUUAUCCCAUUAUCAAUGGUCAUUUUAUUCAAUCCAUGGGUCCCGCCAGUCACUGGGUGUAAUAGAAGCACAAUUCCUUCUGAAUGGAGGGUUCCUCCCUUACUUUAGGGUUCUAGAAUGGGGGAAAGAAUUAGAGACCCCACCCUUCACCAAGCAGGUCGCAGGGCAGAGAGAGCAUGGGCUUGGAAGAGGGGCAGACCUCUGGAUGAUUUGGGGUGCCCUGUACUCCUGUGGAACUCACGUCUUUGAACUUCAGUUUAGUUGAGUCCACACAAAUGUCCCUGGCUGGUGAAUGGUCUUCUGUCACACAGGGACCUGAGGACAGAGGCCUCCAUCCCGUGGCUGUUCCGUACCCUGGGGCCUGGAGGCCUCAAGAGAGACAGGGUGGAGAAGCCUCGCCUGCUUCUUAAAGCCCCUGCCUUGAAUUUACACACAUCACUUCUCAUUUUCCAAUGGCAAAACUUAGGCCCGCAGCCAUUCUGGGAACAAAGUGGGUGGGACAUGCCGUUCCUGAUGGGUAGCAGCACCAGGACCAGCUCCACUGCAUGGAAUAAUGAACCCACAGCUUUGGUGAAUAGGCAGCCACCUCUGCCACAUAUCAUAGCUUGUUGGGUGGUUGUGAAGCUUGAAUAUUAUAACACAUGUGAAGCAUUAACCUUGGAGUGCCCUGCAGUGCAGGAUAAAUGCUGUUAUUUAGUUAAGUUA